rnacentral:ncRNA from 1 species
GUAAUUGCGUUGAAGAGGAGCAGUAAAUAGAAGUUUAAUUUAAAGCGAUUUAGGGAGAGUGUGAGCCUAAAAUUUAAAACUAUUGAAGGAAACCUUGGAGCAAUAAAAUUAAAUAAGUAUUUGAGUGGGUUAAUUCUUAUUAACCAAUUUAGGUGGUAACGCGGAAGUACGUCUUUCGUCCUAUAU